AAUAGAAUUACUGGUUCACAUGGUUAGUAUAUGUUUAACUUUUUAAGAAACUGCCAAAAUGUUUUCCAAAGUAGCUGUACCAUUUUACAUUCCCACCAGCAAA
rnacentral:pre_miRNA from 1 species